rnacentral:RNase_P_RNA from 1 species
CCAGACGGUCGGAUGGCUGCCCUAAGCAUAUGGGAAACCUGCGGUGGGAGGAAAGUCCGGGCUCCACGGGGACACAGUGCCGGGUAAUACCCGGCGAGGGCGACCUCAGGGAAAGUGCCACAGAAAGCAAACCGCCUGUCCUAACUUUAUUAGGUAGGUAAGGGUGAAAGGGUGCGGUAAGAGCGCACCGCGCCAAUGGCAACAUUGACGGCAGGGUAAACCACACUGGGAGCAAGACCGAAUAGGAGCGACAACUUAAAUCUAAUUUAAAGGCACGUCUCCGUGCCGUCGCUCGGGUGGGUUGCAUGAGGUGCGCGGUAACGUGCAUCCCAGAUGAAUAGCCAUCCCCUUUAAAACAGGGACAGAACCCGGCUUACAGACCGUCUGGUAUU